UGAAUACUCCCUCCGUCCAAAAAUACUUGUCGUAGAAAUGGAUACAAAUGGAAGUAUCUAGAACUAAAAUACAUCUAGAUACAUCUAUUCCUCGGACAAGUAUUUCCGGACGGAGGGAGUAUAUA
rfam:Triticum urartu cultivar G1812 contig987650, whole genome shotgun sequence.